CGAGAUUCCAUCUCAAAAAAAAAAAAUUAUUUUUUGGUAGACAUGUUGUCUCGCUGUUACCCAAGUUGAUCUCAAACUCUUGGUCUCAAGGGAUCCUCCUGCCUCAGCCUCCCAAAGUGCUAGGAUUACAGGUGUGAGCCACGGCGCCUGGCUCCCAGCAAAUCUUAACAGAGCUCUGUGGCCUGGCUGGUUCUGCGUGUUCAUCUCAUCCUUGUCUCCUGGGUCCACUGAACCCCCAGCCAGAAGGUAUGCUCCUUAAAGCUGUGAAUCAAGCCAGGUCCCCGGGUCUUCUUGAAUGCUCAGAGCUUUUCCAUCAAUGGUCAAGAAACAGAUUCUGGGGCUCGGGGCGGCUGGUUUCUCUGGGCCCCUAGGGAGUCCCUGGUUAGUCGGUGUAGGUACAGUCAUUUCUCUCUCUUGGGAGGUUGCACUGUGUCUGGGAGGCACAGCCCCUUCUCAUCUGCCUGGUCCUCGCCUGAACAGUACCUUCCUCUCCCCAGUCAUCCCUGAGCUAGACUGUAGCCCCUAGGGACCCGUCUCCCAAUGGGCCCCAGCUCUCCUCCCUCUCUCUUCUUCCCUUGGGGCAGCCAGAAGUCCCCGCUCAUAACUCCCACACGAAUGAGCCUGUCUAGGGACAGAGGGAGGGACCUGAGUGACAUUUUAAUUAUGCCUCUAAUUGCUUUCCAGGGAGAUGAGUGGGGAACUCACAUUUCUCUGUGGGUGCUCAGGGGAGAGUGCAGGGUUUCCACCAGGAACUCAGCCACAUUGAGAUCCCCAAGAUU
rnacentral:lncRNA from 1 species